GAUUACUUGUGACAUAUUGUCUUAAUUACUUGUGACAUAUUGUCUUGAUUACUUGUGACAUAUUGUCUUGAUUACUUGUGACAUAUUGUCUUAAUUACUUGUGACAUAUUGUCUUGAUUACUUGUGACAUAUUGUCUUGAUUACUUGUGACAUAUUGUCUUAAUUACUUGUGACAUAUUGUCUUGAUUACUUGUGACAUAUUGUCUUGAUUACUUGUGACAUAUUGUCUUAAUUACUUGUGACAUAUUGUCUUGAUUACUUGUGACAUAUUGUCUUAAUUACUUUGACAUAUUGUCUUAAUUACUUGUGACAUAUUGUCUUGUAGGAAACAUGUCCUGAGCGAGUUGAGAAAGAAUCUCCGUAUUUAUUGUUUUACGAGCGUGUUGGCAUGGACUAUAAACAUUUUCAGCCUGAUAUCCAAGAUCGUAAUCCAGAUUGCUCCAAUGACGAGGAUGAAAUUGAUAAUGAAAUAAGGAAAGCUUGUGUUCUUCAAUGAAGAAAUUUGACAUAUUGAAUAUGUAUUGUGUAUAUAUAAUUAGGCUGUUGCGGUAUUGUAAAAUUCUAUCUAAAAAAUCGAAUCUAUCUAUCUAAAAAAUAGAAUAUCGAUAAUAAAAAUCGAUAAUAGAAUAUCGACCAACACAGAAAAUAUCAUAUCGAUACUAUUAACCAUUGAAAGUCACUGCACAAAAACAAUCAGUGGUUCCCAUUUCUGACCAAAUGUUAUUCAAAAUAUCGAAAAACCAAAUAUCGAAUAACCGAUAAUUUACGAAGCCCGAUAUUUAUCGAUAUACCGCAACAGCCUUUUGUAUAUACCAGAUGUCCAAAAAACCUACACUGUUUGAUUUAAUAUGGCAGAAAAACUAAAACAGCUAUCAAGAUCAAAUAAGGUGUGUCGUAUCCAGAAAGAGCUGACUUAAAUUUUGAUAUGUUAGUAAUGUUACACGAGGAUUUUUAUGCAGUAUUAGCUGAGAAUCUGAGAUAUCAAUGUUUUAAAUCGAACAAGCAUUUUUGGCAAUGGUAAAAAUUUGCAUAAAUAGCUGCAUGGAUAAAUCGCUUUAGUUGUAAAAAAUCGCAUAUUUAUGUCAAAAAUGAAACAGUGUAUAGGUUUCUUUGGGGACACCCGGUAUAAUACUGAUGAAAUGGUCCCAUGAACGUUGUAUAGGGUAGAUAUUGUAGCAUUCUUUGACCAAACCCCUAAUUGGUCAGAAUUUGUUCUUGUGUUCACUGAAUACGUGGUUUUACCAGUGAACUCUAAUAUGUCUUCAUACCUACAUGCAUGGCGUUCCAGUCUUUUUAGAGUUCACUGGCUUUUACAGAGUAAUUUUUAAUUGCAACUUUCAUGCGACUGUUCUUGAAUUAAUAAUGUAUCUAACGAUAAUAUUGUUGUAUAUAGGGUAUAACACAUAUUCCUAGUUAUUUAAAUGUUUGUAGAGCGUACAUUUGCUGCUAAACUUACAAUGAAGAUGUGUUAAGUCUUAAAGACAGUGUUUCUAAGCAAGACAUAGGUGGAAUACUUUCUUAAAUAUAAUUAAAUUACAUACAAUCAUUAAUUUCUUUCAUAGAGUCUAAUGCCAUUUCCAAACCGGACACUU
rnacentral:lncRNA from 1 species